rnacentral:lncRNA from 1 species
AUCUAUGGCCAGCAGCCAUACAUCGUCUUCUCUCCCUUAGAAAAGCGAAGCAGCCAUAACCCGUUAAAGCCUGUGAUUCAUAUGUUCAGUAGCUGGGGCAGGAAAGCUGAGACAAUCGUCGGCAACAUCUGGAACAACUGUAAUUCACUAUUUCGCUAUAUGAUCACUUUUUUUUUUUAAUUUUUUCUUUGAAUAGAGAAUACAUACAUUUAUAAAUUAGAUAAUACAUAUAUAACAAUCAUAAUCCAAUAAAAAUAAGUUCUAAAAAGGACAUAUACAAAAACAUAACCAACUUGAAUUCACGAUAUUUUGUAGAAAAAUUGACGUAGUAACCAUUAAAUUUGGGCAGUGAAAACUGGGCCAUCUGUAUUGGAAGCAGCAUGGGGAAAGGUUCACCUGAAAGCAAAGGCGAUAACGGAGGGUGGAUUCGAGGUUUUAUUCAAGCAAAUGUUCGAGACAGACCCAUGGGAAAAUUUGAU